GACGAACGCUGACGGUGUGCUUUAGACAUGCAAGUCGAACGAGAAAGCCCUUCGGGGUGAGUAAAGUGGCGAACGGUUGAGUAACACGUGGGUAACCUGCCCCUCGCAGAGGGAUAACCGGGGGAAACCCCAGCUAAUACCUCGUACGCUUGCCGGGUCGCAUGGCUCGGCAAGUAAAGGUAGCUUCGGCCAUCCGGCGAGGGAUGGGACCGCGGUCCAUUAGCUAGUUGGUGGGGUAACGGCCCACCAAGGCGACGAUGGAUAGCUGGUCUGAGAGGAUGAUCAGCCACACUGGGACUGAGACACGGCCCAGACUCCUACGGGAGGCAGCAGUCGGGAAUCUUGCGCAAUGGGCGAAAGCCUGACGCAGCAACACCGUGUGGGCGACGAAGGCCUUCGGGUCGUAAAGCCCUGUUGUUGGGGACGAAGGACGAAGGGUUAAUAGCCCCUAGUCUGACGGUACCCUUCGAGGAAGCCCCGGCUAACUACGUGCCAGCCGCCGCAGUAAGAC
rnacentral:rRNA from 1 species